CGACKGRGAACMCCGGUUCCAGAUCCUACGGAGGCAGCAUUAGGAAUUMGUCAUGGCGCAGGCUGAGGCAGCAGGCCCGCUGAGAUGACGUCUACGAUCGUAAAGCUCGUAGAAUCGAGAAAAWUCACGAUUUUCGUGAAUGAUAGUACCAAUAAAGUAGCCAGCUACUACGUGCCAGCAGCGCAGUAAUACGUAGGGGCAAGCGUGUCCGAAUCACUGGGUGUAAAGGGUGCUCAGGCGGAUUCAUAAGUCAGAGGUGAAAUCCUGCAGCUUAACUGCAGAACUGCCUUUGAUACUGUGGGUCUAGUGUUCGGGAGAGGGUGAUGGAAUUCUUGGUGUAGCGGUGAAAUGCGUAGAUAUCAAGAAGAACACCAGUUGCGAAGGCGGUCACCUGGCCCGAUACAGACGCUCAAGCACGAAAGCGUGGGGAGCAAACAGGAUUAGAUACCCUGGUAGUCCACGCCCUAAACUAUGGAUACUCGGUGUCGGAUCGUAAGAUUCGGUACCUACGCUAACGCAUUAAGUAUCCCACCUGGGAAGUACGAUCGCAAGGUUGAAACUCAAAGGAAUUGACGGGGGCCCGCACAAGCAGUGGAGCAUGUGGUUUAAUUCGACGCAACGCGAAGAACCUUACCUAGGCUUGAAAGGCUAGCCGCAGACGAUGAAAGUCGUUUUCCCGCAAGGGGGCUAGUACAGGUGCUGCACGGCUGUCGUCAGCUCGUGUCGUGAGAUGUUGGGUUAAGUCCCGCAACGAGCGCAACCCCUGCACUUUGUUGCCAUCGGGUAAUGCCGGGCACUCUAAGUGGACUGCCUACGCAAGUAGUGAGGAAGGCGGGGAUGACGUCAAGUCCUCAUGGCCCUUACGCCUAGGGCUACACACGUGCUACAAUGGCCUCUACAAAGGGUCGCAAUACCGCAAGGUGGAGCCAAUCCCAAAAAAGAGGUCUCAGUUCGGAUCGGAGUCUGCAACUCGACUCCGUGAAGCUGGAAUUGCUAGUAAUCGCGCAUCAGCACGGCGCGGUGAAUACGUUCCCGGGCCUUGUACACACCGCCCGUCAAGCCAUGGAAGUUGGUAGUACCCGAAGUCGCCACACUAAGUCGGCGYMUAAGGUAAGACCAAUGACUGGGGCUAAGUCGUAACAAGGUAACCGU
rnacentral:rRNA from 1 species